CAGCAGCCGCGGUAAUACGGAGGGUGCGAGCGUUGUUCGGAUUUAUUGGGCGUAAAGCGCGUGUAGGCGGUUUCUUAAGUCUGAUGUGAAAGCCCCGGGCUCAACCUGGGAAGUGCAUUGGAUACUGGGAGACUUGAGUACGGGAGAGGGUAGUGGAAUUCCCAGUGUAGGAGUGAAAUCCGUAGAUAUUGGGAGGAACACCGGUGGCGAAGGCGGCUACCUGGACCGAUACUGACGCUGAGACGCGAAAGCGUGGGGAGCAAACGGGAUUAGAUACCCUGGUAGUCCACGCCGUAAACGAUGAGAACUAGGUGUUGCGGGUAUUGACCCCUGCAGUGCCGCAGCUAACGCACUAAGUUCUCCGCCUGGGAAGUACGGUCGCAAGACUAAAA
rnacentral:rRNA from 1 species